GUGGUUCUUGUAGUUGAGAUACAACGACGGUUUUUCAGGCCGUAGGUCCUGGAGAGUAGCCAGGCAAGAACU
rnacentral:tRNA from 1 species